ACCAGGCUAUGAGGGGUGGCCAGUCCUCUUCUGGCUGUACCAGGUAGAGAGGAACCAGGCUAUGAGGGGUGGCCAGUCCUCUUCUGGCUGUACCAGGUAGAGAGGAACCAGGCUAUGAGGGGUGGCCAGUCCUCUUCUGGCUGUGCCGGGUAGAGGGGAACCAGGCAAUGAGGGGUGGCCAGUCCUCUUCUGGCUUAGCCGGGUAGAGAGGAACCAGGCUAUGAGGGGUGGCCAGUCCUCUUCUGUACCUGGUGGAGAGGAACCAGGGUAUGAGGGGUGGCCAGUCCUCUUCUGGCUGUACCAGGUGGAGAGGAACCAGGCUCUGAGGGGUGGCCAGUCCUCUUCUGUGCCGGGUGGAGAUUAUAACAGAACAUGGACGAGAUGUUAAAUCCAUUUGAUUUGAUUUUGAUUGGAUUAGUCUAGUUUGAGAAACAGACGCCUCACAAAUAUUUAACUGGCAGUACCCGUUAACCACCAUGCUUCAGCGUAGGGAUGGUGCCAGGUUUCCUCCAGACAUGACGAUUGGCUUUCAUGCCGAAAAGUUAAAUAUUUUCAUCAGUCCAGAGAAUCUUGUUUCUUAUGGUCUGAGAGUCCUUUAGGUGACGUUUGGCAAAUUUGUGCAUUUUACUGAGAAGUGGCUUCCAUCUAGCCACUCUAUCAUAAAGGCCUAAUUGGUGGAGAGCUGCUGCAGAGAUGGUUGCCCUUCUGGAAGGUUCUCCCAUAUCCACAGAAGACCUCUCUGGAGUUCUGUCAGAGUGACCAUCUGGUUCUUGGUCACCUCCCUGACCAAGGCCCUUCUCCCCAAAUUGCUCAGUUUGUCCGGGCAGCCAGCUCUUGAAAGAGUCUUGGUGGUUCCAAACCUCUUCCAUUUAAGAAUGAUGGAGGCCACUGUGUUCUUGGUGACCUUCAAGGCUGCAGAAACGUUUUGGUACCCUUCCCCAGAUCUGUGCCCCGACACAAUCCCGUCUCGGAGCUCUGUGGACAAUUCCUUCUACCUCAUGGCUUGGUUUUUACUCUGACAUGAACUGUCAACUGUGGGACCUUAUAUAGACAGAUGUGUGCCUUUCCAAAUCAUGUCCAAUCAAUUGUAUUUUCCACAGGUAGACUCCAAUCAAAAUGUAGAAUCAUCUCAAGGAUGAUCAAUGGAAACAGGAUGCACCUGAGCUCAAUUUCGAGUCUCACAGCAAAGAGUCUGAAUACUUAUGUAAAUAAGGUAUUUCUGUAUUUAUUUCAUACCUUUGUAAAAAUUAUAAAAACCUGUUUUGCUUUGUCAUUAUUGUGUAUUGUGUGUAGAUUGAUGAGGGAAAAAAACGAUUUAAUACAUUUCAGAAUAAGGCUGUAACGAAACAAAAGGUGAAAAGGGGAAGGGGUCUGAAUACUUUCCAAAUGAACUGUAGGAUAUUACAGGUGUUGAGACAGAAGUGAUGCUGCUGGCUGAAGACAGAUGUUGAGACAGAAGUGAUGCUGCUGGCUGAAUACAGAUGUUGAGACAGAAGUGAUGCUGCUGGCUGAAGACAGGUGUUGAGACAGAAGUGAUGCUGCUGGCUGAAGACAGGUGUUGAGACAGAAG
ensembl:lncRNA